UCAGCUCCGCUCUCGAGCGAGCACCCGGGGGACUGGGUCUCUCGUCUCUUUCCCCCAUCUUUCUCGUCAUGGGGUGCGGGGGGAGUGGAAGCUUGCAGGCAUCUUCUGCACAGAGAAGGAAAUCGGUCAGGAGAGAAGGGAAGAAGUCAUCUCCAGAGACCAGGAGCUGAGAGAGCUGAUUAAGUUGCCGAGGGUCAAAGCUCAAACUAAGCACAGACUUGCCACCUCGCUUCCCUUUCUGCAGGACCGGCUUGUCUUAGCAGAUCAAUUCGCCUGGCUCGGCUUCCAUCUUGAUUCCUGAACACAGGGAGAGCCGCGGCUAACCGGCCCGCACUGUCCCGAGGAGGACGAUAUUAAUAACAAUGACUGUGAAUCACUUUUUUUUUUCUUUCUGUGCCGUUAUUAUCAGCGCUGUGUGGGUGCUUAUUAUUAUUAAUAAUAAUUUGCUGCAGACUCUACCACUUUUGUGUAACAAUGAGUACCUGGAUUCUAAUUAUCUGUCUUAUUUUAAUAUUUAUGGAAUUAAUCAAACUUUUUAAUGGAAAACCCCACAAUGAAAUUACCGGGAGCAUGCUUCAAUGAAGACAGAUGCGACACGCUGUGGGAAGCGACAGCUCAACUUUAUUAGCAUUACUCCGAUCCAGCUCGGUGACGCAGGCUGGCCCCUGAGCCAAGCUGACCAGCAGCUGCACCGCCGGGAGCCCUCAGCCAAGACCCACCCCUCCACCCCUCUCCCACGCUGGACCCAUAGGGGGAGGACCCCAUCUGUGGCCAGGAAGAGGAACUCCCACAGCCCACAGUCACCUAGGCCCAAAAGACAAGAUGGCUUGUAACCAAAGCUAACAACCUAUUCAACACAGAUAGCCAUACUAGCCAAGUGAGUGGUGUGGCAAGUGAUCUCCUGGGGCUGGAAGGACUGGAAAGCUGGACUCAAGCACAGCCGGAAGAUCAAGGAAGAUGCUCCUUCCAUGAGGAAGAAAUCUGAGGCUCGAUGGGGUCACUUGGGUACCAGCAAGAAAAGAAACAUCACCGAUAGUAUUUUUUCAAGCCUGGAGGAUGGGAAACCUGGCCUGACGUCGGCCAGGUCAUGGUUACCUAAGACCUUGCUAAAAUUCUGCGGCUUUUCAGGGCCAGAUUGCAAGGGAAGGUGACAGUAUUGUUACUUAAACACACACGAGUUCUCCGUGACCAUGUUGUCACAUGGUCAGGCCGGCCUGUGCAGCGUUUUCUUUCUGUUCCUGACCCUGGCUGUCACCAAUGCAGAAAAUCAUCUGGAAAGCUUCGGAAAGUGCCCAACUUGAGAGUCCCACCACCCAGAGGUUGGUUCCUUGUCUGAGGCAUAACUCUAAGGACUGGUGAUGUAUGUGUGUUUAAGGGUCUCGGUCACUUUAAGCAAAACUUCUGUGCAGAGAUGCGGUUUGGAAAGAAAGACAGCUGGGUGAAAUUUACCCCAAGAAGUGAACACUCUUCCUACAGCUGACAUCCUCUUGCCCGGCACGUGAACUCUGAGGUCACAUUCCCAGAGAGCUCGCCCACACUCUGGGUAUGCACUCUGCUUUGUUAAGUGUCUCUUUAAUUAGCCCGCACUCAAACCUAUGUUUAAUUUCUUUUUAAUAAACUCUAACUCUGCUCUA